AUCCUUUUAAUAUAUAAAGUAUAUUUAACUUCCAAUUAAAUUGUCCCUUUAAGGGAAAGGAUA
rnacentral:tRNA from 1 species